rnacentral:rRNA from 1 species
AGCUAAUACCGCGUAAUGUCUUAGGACUAAAGGGUGGGACCAUUUGGCCACCUGCCAUAAGAUGAGCCCAAGUGGGAUUAGGUAGUUGGUGAGGUAAAGGCUCACCAAGCCCGCGAUCUCUAGCUGGUCUGAGAGGAUGACCAGCCACACUGGAACUGAGACACGGUCCAGACUCCUACGGGAGGCAGCAGUGGGGAAUAUUGCACAAUGGGGGGAACCCUGAUGCAGCCAUGCCGCGUGAAUGAAGAAGGCCUUCGGGUUGUAAAGUUCUUUCGGUGACNAGGAAGGCGAUUGUUUUAAUAGAACAGUCAGUUGACGUUAAUCACAGAAGAAGCACCGGCUAACUCCGUGCCAGCAGCCGCGGUAAUACGGGGGGUGCGAGCGUUAAUCGGAAUAACUGGGCGUAAAGGGCACGCAGGCGGUUGUUUAAGUGAGGUGUGAAAGCCCCGGGCUUAACCUGGGAAUUGCAUUUCAGACUGGACAACUAGAGUACUUUAGGGAGGGGUAGAAUUCCACGUGUAGCGGUGAAAUGCGUAGAGAUGUGGAGGAAUACCGAAGGCGAAGGCAGCCCCUUGGGAAUGUACUGACGCUCAUGUGCGAAAGCGUGGGGAGCAAACAGGAUUAGAUACCCUGGUAGUCCACGCCGUAAACGCUGUCGAUUUGGGGAUUGGGGUUUAACUCUGGUGCCCGUAGCUAACGUGAUAAAUCGACCGCCUGGGGAGUACGGCCGCAAGGUUAAAACUCAAAUGAAUUGACGGGGGCCCGCACAAGCGGUGGAG